ACAUCCAGAGAACUUAGCAGAGAUGCUUUGGUGCCUUCGGGAACUCUGAGACAGGUGCUGCAUGGCUGUCGUCAGCUCGUGUUGUGAAAUGUGGUUAAGUCCCGCAACGAGCGCAACCCCUAUCCUUUGUUGCCAGCGAUUCGGUCGGGAACUCAAAGGAGACUGCCGGUGAUAAACCGGAGGAAGGUGGGGAUGACGUCAAGUCAUCAUGGCCCUUACGAGUAGGGCUACACACGUGCUACAAUGGCGCAUACAAAGAGAAGCGACCUCGCGAGAGCAAGCGGACCUCAUAAAGUGCGUCGUAGUCCGGAUUGGAGUCUGCAACUCGACUCCAUGAAGUCGGAAUCGCUAGUAAUCGUAGAUCAGAAUGCUACGGUGAAUACGUUCCCGGGCCUUGUACACACCGCCCGUCACACCAUGGGAGUGGGUUGCAAAAGAAGUAGAUAGCUUAACCUUCGGGAGGGCGUUUACCACUUUGUGAUUCAUGACUGGGGUGAAGUCGUAACAAGGUAAGCGUACGUGU
rnacentral:rRNA from 1 species